UACGUAGGGACCGAGCGUUGUCCGGAUUCAUUGGGCGUAAAGAGCUCGUAGGCGGCUGCUCAAGUCGAAUGUGAAAACUCGAGGCUCAACCUCGAGCCUGCAUUCGAUACUGGGCGGCUAGAGUCUGGUAGGGGGAUCUGGAAUUCCUGGUGUAGCGGUGGAAUGCGCAGAUAUCUGGAGGAAUACCGGUGGCGAAGGCGGCAUCCUGGACCGACAUUGACGCUGAGGAGCGAAAGCUAGGGGAGCAAACGGG
rnacentral:rRNA from 1 species